UACGUAGGUGGCAAGCGUUGUCCGGAUUUAUUGGGUUUAAAGGGUGCGUAGGCGGCCUAUUAAGUCAGUGGUGAAAUCUUUCAGCUCAACUGGAAUUGUGCCAUUGAUACUGAUGGGCUUGAGUACAGAUGAGGUAGGCGGAAUUGACGGUGUAGCGGUGAAAUGCUUAGAUAUCGUCAAGAACACCUAUAGCGAAGGCAGCUUACUAGGCUGUAACUGACGCUGAGGCACGAAAGUGUGGGGAUCAAACAGG
rnacentral:rRNA from 1 species